rnacentral:rRNA from 1 species
GACGAACGCUGGCGGCGUGCUUAACACAUGCAAGUCGAACGGAAAGGCCCUGCUUUUGUUGGGUGCUCGAGUGGCGAACGGGUGAGUAACACGUGAGUAACCUGCCCUUGACUUUGGGAUAACUUCAGGAAACUGGGGCGAAUAUCGGAUAUGAGCUCCUGCUGCAUGUGGGGGGUUGGUAAGUGUCGGCCGUUGGGGAUGGAUUAGAUGCUUAUGCGCUUGAUUGGGGGGUAGGUGAGGACCAAGGUUUUGACGGGUAGCCUGCAUGAGAGGGUUGCCGGGCACCAUGGGACUGCGAUACGGAGCAGAAUGCUACGGGAGGCAGCAGUGGAGAAUAUUGCACAAUGGGGGGAAGCCUGAUGCAGCAACGCCGCGUGCGGGAUGCCGGCCUUCGGGUUGUAAACAGCUUUCGCCUGUGACGAAGCGUGAGUGACGGUAAUGGGUAAAGAAGCACCGGCUAACUACGUG